rnacentral:rRNA from 1 species
UACGUAGGGUGCGAGCGUUUAAUCGGAAUUACUGGGCGUAAAGGGUGCGCAGGCGGCCGUGUGUGUGAGGCGUGAAAGCCCGGGGCUUAACCCCGGAAUUGCACCUCAAACUACAUGGCUAGAGCAUUGGAGAGGGUAGCGGAAUUCACGGUGUAGCAGUGAAAUGCGUAGAUAUCAGGAGGAACACCUGUGGCGAAAGCGGCUCACUGGACCAUAACUGACGCUGAUGCACGAAAGCUAGGGGAGCAAACAGG